UAAUAAGUGUUUUAUGGCACUUUUUAAAUCCAGUAUCCACCUUGUGUGCAAUGUCAGUCGAUCUUCUUCAUGGAGAUCGACCAAACAUCAACCUUUAUUUUUUAACUCUUUGUCUGAAAAAUAUUAUGAAUAAACAAUUCAAAAUA
rnacentral:misc_RNA from 1 species